rnacentral:snRNA from 1 species
GUGCUGAUUUGGCUGAGACAUCUGUCACCCCAUUGAUUGCCAGGGUUGAUUCGACUGAUUUGGCUGGCUAGGUGAGUGUCCAUUUUCUCCCUCACAGCUCCAUGUGCGUCCCUCCCAAAAAUUCAGUCAAAGAGGACGGCCUUCCCAAAAUAGAGACGGACCGUCUUCGGUUGAGUGUAUCUGAGUAGCUGCACUCCCCUGCUAGAACCUCCAAACAAGCUCUCAAGGUCCAUAAUUUAACAAUGUUAUUUUUGUAUUUACAUAGAAGACAAUAUACAUGUUAUAAAGUUAGGUUCCU